GCAUCUGUGUAUGCCAGGCCUUGGAAAGGAGAGGAUAUCCCUGAAGGACAGAGGAGCCUCCAGGUCUUUCUUCUACUGUGGGAAGCUGGAAAGCUCUCCUCCUUAGAGACUCAGACUAUCCUCCUCGACCAUCUGUAAUGUGUGGAAUUAGUUCCUCUGCUGACAGAAAACUCUCAGAAGUAGACUGUUUAGAGCAGCCCUGAGAGGACACCAGAGAUCUUUUGCUUGAGGACUGAAGGAUGCAGAGUGAAUCAGGAGUGGCCCAAAGAAUUUGCUAACAGUGGAUCCAUGGAUGAUGCUAUUCAAGACCAAAUAAUCCAGACUCUGCAUGUUAUUGUCUACUUGGGCUCUGCCUUCAGUAUGGGACUGUGGCCUAUUAAGAACCAGACCAGAAUCCAUCACUGCUAUGGUGUGGGUGAGCCUGUCUUCACCUGGGAUAAAAGACAGAGGACACCCUAGCCUUCCUUAGAGGGUCCAACAAGGACUGUGAGUAGACGGAGGACUCCUCUCUUGUUUUCCAGUCAAUUCUCUUGCCAAACACAUUCUCAGAUUUCAAUUAUUUUAAACUGCAGCUGAUAAUUGUUUAAAAAUGUACUUUUUUCUAAAUAACUCCACUUAUUUCCAUUCUAGUUCAUUUUCUGUUCUUUGCCUAGAUUUGACUAUUCCAUGAGACCCGUACUCCAUUGCUGAUUCUCUGUUCCCGGAUGAAUUAUUUUAUUUUUGACUAAUAAUAAUUACUUUUGCCUUUCAGGUGGAUAGAUUUCUCUUGUGAUGACAAGUUUCUGUGCACCCGCAGACUUUGUCAUCCUUUACCUGCUUCCACAUCUCUCUGAAACAGGAGCAGUGGCCCCUUCUCUUCUCCCCUCCCUUGCUUUGGGGCCAGGGUGCCAUGGGGCCAGGGUGCCAUGGGGCCACAGUUGCUGGGAUCUCUCUAACAGUUUACAGGGCCUGUCAGGGCUGUAGUAAUGGGGAGUUGCACUUCAUUAUUGCUGGUCAGUAAGCACACAGCCAGGAAGCUGCUUUAGAGUGUUUGCCAUGCCUCCCCCGCAUGGUACCCGGUAGAUGUGGUCAGCCUGUAGAGCUGUGCCAAGGCUCAUGAAGAAAAGAGUGAGGCAUGGCAAGAUUUUCUUUUCUUUUUAUUUUUUUACAGCACUAAUUUCUUCUUCCUUCACUCCCAAUUUUAUAAAGAUGUUAUUGGAGAAUUAUCUGUUCAAGUUCUAGCUCAUUUUUAAGUCAGGUUAUGUAGGGCCAGACAAAAUUAUUUGGGCUUUCUCACCCAUAGUGCCAGCAGAAAUCGCUAUGUUUUUCUUAGGUAGCCCUAACUGUACACAGUGGUGUCAUGAUUAUGUAACUACUGCUUGGCACCUUGCCUCUAUUGUUUCUCCUGAUAUAAAGGGGUACAGGACCUUCCACUGGUGCAGACCUCUUGUGUAACUCGCCUGCCUCCAUGAGCUAGGGCCGACCUCCUAUGUAACUCUCCCACGCGAUAAACUGAAUAAAA